AGAGUUUGAUCAUGGCUCAGAGUGAACGCUGGCGGCGUGCUUAACACAUGCAAGUCGAGCGAAUUUUGGCAGCACACCGCCAGAGUUAGCGGCAGACGGGUGAGUAAUACUUGGGCAAUCUGCCCUUGAGUGGGGGACAACCUGCCGAAAGGCGGGCUAAUACCCCCAUAAGACCACGGGGAUGCAUAUUCCAGAGGUCAAAGCUCCGCAAGGGGCGCUUGAGGAGGAGCCCGAGUCCUAUCAUGGUAGUUGGCGGGGUAAUGGCCCACCAAGCCGUUGACGGGUAGCCGACCUGAAAGGGUAACCGGCCACACUGGCACUGAGACACGGGCCAGACUCCUACGGGAGGCAGCAGUGGGGAAUUUUGGACAAUGGGGGCAACCCUGAUCCAGCGACGCCGCGUGAAGGAUGAAGGUCUUCGGAUUGUAAACUUCUUUUGGAGGGGAUGAAUGUCUGCGUGAAUAACGCAGAGUGACAGUACUCUCUGAAUAAGCCACGGCUAACUACGUGCCAGCAGCCGCGGUAAUACGUAGGUGGCAAGCGUUACUCGGAAUCACUAGGCGUAAAGCGCAGGUAGGAGGUUUAGUAAGUCUGUUGUGAAAGCUCCCGGCUUAACUGGGAGAGGUCAACGGAAACUGCUAGGCUAGAGUGCGGUAGAGGAAGGUGGAAUUCCCGGUGUAGCGGUGAAAUGCGUAGAUAUCGGGAGGAAUACCUAUGGCGAAAGCAGCCUUCUGGACCGUCACUGACUCUGAUCUGCGAAAGCUAGGGGAGCAAACAGGAUUAGAUACCCUAGUAGUCC
rnacentral:rRNA from 1 species